UACAGAGGGGGCAAGCGUUGUUCGGAAUUACUGGGCGUAAAGGGCGCGUAGGCGGGAUGGCAAGUCGGUCGUGAAAUCCCUCGGCUCAACCGAGGAACGUCGAUCGAUACUGCUGUUCUUGAGGAUUGCAGAGGAGACUGGAAUUCCCGGUGUAGCGGUGAAAUGUGUAGAGAUCGGGAGGAACACCGGUGGCGAAGGCGGGUCUCUGGGCAAUUCCUGACGCUGAGGCGCGAAAGCGUGGGGAGCAAACGGG
rnacentral:rRNA from 1 species